rnacentral:rRNA from 1 species
GACGAACGCUGGCGGCGUGCCUAAUACAUGCAAGUCGACCUUAGUGGCGAACGGGUGAGUAACACGUGGGUAACCUGCCAAUCAGAAGGGGAUAACACUUGGAAAUAGGUGCUAAUACCGUAUACUGAUGGAUGGAGCCGCGGUGCAUUAGCUAGUUGGUGACGUAACGGCUCACCAGGGCCACGAUGCAUAGCCGACCUGACAGGGGGUUCGGCCACCUUGGGACUGAGACACGGCCCAAACUCCGACGGGAGGCAGCAGUAGGGAAUCUGCGGCAAGAGACGAAAGUCUGACCGAGAAACGCCGCGUGAGUGAAGAAGGUUUUCGGAUCGUAAAACUCUGUUGUUAGAGAAGCGGUAUCUAACCAGAAAGCCACGGCUAACUACGUGCCAGCAGCCGCGGUAAUAC